UGGGGAAUAUUGCACAAUGGGCGAAAGCCUGAUGCAGCGACGCCGCGUGAGGGAUGAAGGCCUUCGGGUUGUAAACCUCUUUCAGUAGGGAAGAAGCGAAAGUGACGGUACCUGCAGAAGAAGCGCCGGCUAACUACGUGCCAGCAGCCGCGGUAAUACGUAGGGCGCAAGCGUUGUCCGGAAUUAUUGGGCGUAAAGAGCUCGUAGGCGGUUUGUCGCGUCUGGUGUGAAAACCCAAGGCUCAACCUUGGGCUUGCAUCGGGUACGGGCAGACUAGAGUGCGGUAGGGGUGACUGGAAUUCCUGGUGUAGCGGUGGAAUGCGCAGAUAUCAGGAGGAACACCGAUGGCGAAGGCAGGUCACUGGGCCGCAACUGACGCUGAGGAGCGAAAGCAUGGGUAGCGAACAGG
rnacentral:rRNA from 2 species